CUCUCUCUCUCUCUCUCUAUGUGUGUGUGUGUGUGUGUGUGUGUGUGUGUGUGUGUGUGUGUGAGUGUGCGAUUCUGAUCGCGAUUUAUAGUGUUGCAAUUGGCUCGCAUUUUAACCUAUGGGUUUUCUGAGGUUCUUUAUGCUUAAAUGGAUGUAGAAUGCCGUAUGAUCCGCGAAGGAUCCGAGUUUUGUGUGAGUUUGCGGUUCGAUCUGUUUGUUUUGGAAAUUUGUAAAUAUUUUGAUUAGAUCUGCGUAGAAUUUGACAUUUCGUGUUUGUUUCGCGUUUUUUACAUCGUGGAAAUAGCAAAUCAUAGUUUCGUUCACGAUCAAGAUCAUAAUGUUAGACGUGUGGGACUGGAUUUAAUUAAUAUUGUUUUAAAAUUGUAUCAUGUUGUGUUCUGAGCUUCUCUGAUACUGCAGUUUGCAAUUAUUUCGAUUUAUGAGUACUGAACCGUAAAAAAAAUAAUAUAUGGGUGGUGACCUAUUGCGGGUGAAAAAUAAUUAGUUACGAUGAAACGAAACGAGAUUGCAAAUGUGUUAGGAUUGUGCUUGGGUGUUUUUUCACAAAGAGUGAAACCAAGAUACAGGUGGUUCUAAAUGCUUAGGUCAUGUAUAUUUGUAAUGGAUACGUACUGAAGUUUAUUGCUUGUGGGUGUGUGGCUUGUGCACUAAUCUUGUGCUUGUGCUUUUGAAUGAAUAGAAUUUGCAGCCUUUCUUUAGAAUCGAAUUGCAUCUCGAGUAAUCCCAAAGUUAGGUAAAGGAUAGAAAAGAAUAGCAUUUCAUUUAUAAGUAAUAGUUCUUUAUUGAUAAGCGCGAAAAAAAGAAGAAGAAGAGUAAUUGAACCGUUGAAUCUUGUGUUUCUCAUUUUAUGACAUAUUAGGGCAAUAACACCCGUUGAACCAGCCUAU